GGUUUAAUUCGAAGCAACGCGAAGAACCUUACCAGGUCUUGACAUCCUCUGACAAUCCUAGAGAUAGGACGUCCCCUUCGGGGGCAGAGUGACAGGUGGUGCAUGGUUGUCGUCAGCUCGUGUCGUGAGAUGUUGGGUUAAGUCCCGCAACGAGCGCAACCCUUGAUCUUAGUUGCCAGCAUUCAGUUGGGCACUCUAAGGUGACUGCCGGUGACAAACCGGAGGAAGGUGGGGAUGACGUCAAAUCAUCAUGCCCCUUAUGACCUGGGCUACACACGUGCUACAAUGGACAGAACAAAGGGCAGCGAAACCGCGAGGUUAAGCCAAUCCCACAAAUCUGUUCUCAGUUCGGAUCGCAGUCUGCAACUCGACUGCGUGAAGCUGGAAUCGCUAGUAAUCGCGGAUCAGCAUGCCGCGGUGAAUACGUUCCCGGGCCUUGUACACACCGCCCGUCACACCACGAGAGUUUGUAACACCCGAAGUCGGUGAG
rnacentral:rRNA from 1 species